rnacentral:rRNA from 1 species
GACGAACGCUGGCGGCGUGCUUAACACAUGCAAGUCGAACGGAAAGGCCCUGCUUUUGUGGGGUGCUCGAGUGGCGAACGGGUGAGUAACACGUGAGUAACCUGCCCUUGACUUUGGGAUAACUUCCGGAAACGGGCGCUAAUACCGCAUACGUCCUGAGGGAGAAAGUGGGGGAUCUUCGGACCUCACGCUAUCAGAUGAGCCUAGGUCGGAUUAGCUAGUUGGUGGGGUAAAGGCCUACCAAGGCGACGAUCCGUAACUGGUCUGAGAGGAUGAUCAGUCACACUGGAACUGAGACACGGUCCAGACUCCUACGGGAGGCAGCAGUGGGGAAUAUUGGACAAUGGGCGAAAGCCUGAUCCAGCCAUGCCGCGUGUGUGAAGAAGGUCUUCGGAUUGUAAAGCACUUUAAGUUGGGAGGAAGGGCAGUAAGUUAAUACCUUGCUGUUUUGACGUUACCAACAGAAUAAGCACCGGCUAACUUCGUG